rnacentral:rRNA from 1 species
UACGUAGGAUGCAAGCGUUGUCCGGAAUUAUUGGGCGUAAAGAGCGCGCAGGCGGCCCAUCAAGUCAGAUGUGAAAUAACCAGGCUUAACCUGGUGGGGUCAUUUGAAACUGGCGGGCUAGAGUCCAGCAGAGGAUAGCGGAAUUCCCGGUGUAGUGGUGAAAUGCGUAGAUAUCGGGAGGAACACCAGUGGCGAAGGCGGCUCUCUGGGACGGUACUGACGCUGAGACGCGAAAGCGUGGGGAGCGAACAGG